UACUGGUGAUAAGGUUGCUAUCGGAGAUCAGACCCUCAGCCCUAGAUGGACCCUCCCAACAGGUAGCAGAUCUGACAGAAACAUCUCAGCAACUCAUCAGACAAGUCCUGUCUGAGUUCUGUGCUGCAUCUAGAUUCUCCAGGACACAGGCAUAUUCCCAGAACCUGAACAUCCAAAGGGUUUUCAGAGGUGUACAUAAAAACCUCAUGGAGGAGUUUGGCUCUUAUAACACCCUGCAAGCAGCUAUUUCCUCCCAGGACCCUGCAUUUGACAGAGUCCUGGUAAAGUCCUUGACCCAGCAGCUGGUACAGGGAUGCAAGGAGGCGUCAAGACCAGCUUCUGCUGCAACAAACCCAUCAGACCAGGCUGAGACAGAGAGGGGGGCUGAGCAGAAAGCAAGAAGGAGCUUCCUUUGCUUUUCAAUGACCAAACUCAGGAUCAACUUCAAGCGUUCCAAGAGAGGAAACAAAAAGGACUGCCAUUCAGUCCAGGAACAGACUGAGAUUCCCUCUGCUGAUGGACAUAGCAUAUGUAAGGACUUUUAGUUUUGUUUAGGUGUGUGUUAGAAACAUAGGUAUGCCUACCAAACUCAUAGCACUUUUAUUUUUUAACAUUACUAUACUGCAUCUCUCUCUCUCUCUCUCUCUCUUACCCCAUCCAUUUCUCUUGUGUUUCUAUCUCCAGUUGGAGAGGUUUCUCCCUCCAUAUCUCAGCCUGUCAAAAAACGAUCCUUGAUUGUCAGGGUCUUUUCAGCAAUGAUGAAGCCAUUCAGGCGCUUCACCAAGAAGAACCUGUAACCUGUUACGCUGCAUGAAUAACUACUUUUGUAACAGCAAGACUUUUGACAAGAGGAAUUUCUGCAUGUCUACCCUUUCAAAGUAUAUUUGAUCAAAUAAAUGGCAAUGAUUUUACAAGAAUUUCAAGUGUUUUGGAAGAUUAGUAAAACUGAAGCAGCUUUUCUCAGAGAAAUGCACUAGUUCCCCCUUGGUUAUACAUUUAUUGUGCAGUUUUUGAGUUGGCAGGACUUGGGGCAGCAGGUAGCCUUGUGGUUAGAGCGUUGGGCCAGUAACUGAAAGGUUGCUAGGUCAGAUCCCUG
rnacentral:lncRNA from 1 species